CCAUAUUCAACAGCUAGCUAAGGGAUAUCGUAUGUAUAUAUAUAUAUAUAUAUAUAUAUGAAAAUAUAUAAAUUUUAGAUAACUAAGAUUAUAAAUAAACAAGACAGAAAGCAACACGAUGCGAAACUAGAGAAAAGAAGAAAUUAAAAAAAAAAAAAGCAACUUAAAAUAUUAACAAAUUAUCGCCUUAUCUCUUAGACUUUUUUUCGGCUGUGAAACUGAGAGUGAUAGCCAAAUAUGCAGAAAUCGCUUUCAAUAAUAAGGGUUUAUAUGGUUAAGUAUGAUUUCGAUCGGAUCGAGGGAUGUAUGUGACUUUACAAAUCUUUACGAGCCUAGAUUCAAAGAAAUCAACUUAUGCUUGAAUUUGAAAAACAAUAACACUAAUUGACGUUCCCAUCUAUUUUAUUUAUAACAAUGAUCUCAAUGUCAACAUGCUCGACACUUUAUCUAUUCAGUCAAAUAACUUCGUUUAGCCGAUUAAUCAAACCCUUAAGGAUCAAUGAUACAUUGAUUCGUUGUAAAUAUCCCAUAUUAGCCGGUUUCUCAUGUUUAUCUUGCAUGUCUCUUAGAUAAUUCCUGAUGUUAUUCAGCAUCUAAUACACUUCCCUAUCUAUAAUGUAAGAGAAAAUACUCGAUACCAGCUUGCGCCGUUCACAAAUCGGUUUCCAGCCUCAUUGGGCAUAAUGCUUUUUAAUCACCGAUAUACACUUUAUCUGUCGGGUUCGAUAAUCCUACUUAACAGGAUUGUUCACUAUAGUGCACGCCCCUUACAGAAGGGAUGAGACCUAUCGAUAUUGAAAACGGAGGCAAACGUAUUCAUUCAAGUCAUUUGUUGGUUGAUGAAUUAAAUAAGAAAAUAUCAGUCAGUAUAAGGCUCCUAGUAACUUAGAUAAAAAAAAAUGUCAAAUUAGUAUAUUAAACCAUUCUAAGAUACUAAAAUACGAGGUACACGCAUUAGAAAUUAAUACCAGGACUUGCAGAAGAGUCUUCUAAAGCAAUCUCUCCUUGAAAAUAGUUUAGGCAAAGUGCAAGUGCAAAACAUUGUUUACAUCUUAUUUUGAAACGCGUCUGUCUUUGUUUUGUCAGCAAUACUACACUACGCUAUAAUACACUACGUUGAGUAUCACUAUAUGUCACAUGUUCUAAUUAUAUAUCGUACCAUGUAUGAUACGAUAUGGA
rnacentral:misc_RNA from 1 species